CUGCAUUCAAACUGCUUUAUCUCCAGCAUGGACCUGGCAUACAGUUGGCAGUCCAUAUAGGUUAAACUCAUCUCUGAAUCAAUGGAUGGAUAUAGAUGUAGCCCAGGAGAAGGUAUUCCUUGGCCUUUUAAGCCGUCCUUGUGACAAGGAACAAUCCCACUGCCUCUACGUUUAGCCAUCAAAAGCACCCAUACAUCAAGACGUGACCUAAUGGAGUCAAAGAGACCAGGAUAUGAGAUUAAACUGGCUGUGCAGCCUUGUGUAUGAUUUAAUUUGGAAACAAAAAAACAAAACCAAACCCACAACGCUCUUCAGAGUUCCAAUGAUGAAAGGUUUGAAAGCCACUGAGUUCAGCCCUCCCAUGUUGCAGAUGGAAAGAGUGAGGUCCAGAGAAGAGGCGGCACUGGCUCCAGGUCACACAGCGAGCCGGUGGGUGAGCAGGAACUCAAACCUAGGUCUGACCCCCAGGGAAGAGUUUUGCACCAUGGCUUUCUUGAGGGUCUCUGGGGGUCUCCACCCUGGGGCUGCUGGGAGGCAAAGAGGGAGGGUUGGGUAUUAGGCAGGUGUCUUCACACCCUGCAGCCUUCAGCCAGAAUCCACUGCUUUGCCGUCAUAUGUUGGGUUCCAAGGUGUUUGACCAAAUGGUUUUGUGGGUGGGGAGAGCCUGCUGGGAGGUGAUGGGGGAAACACUGGGGAGGGCUUCAGUGGGGCCAAGCAUUUCCUGGAGUGGGAUCCUCCCCCCUCCAUCCCGGUACUACCCUCUUCCCUCUAGCUGUGGUGAGGAGAUGGAUGGGGGGAGCCAGGGC
ensembl:lncRNA